UCAGUCUGAAAAUUAUCUCAGAUCUAACAGUGAUCUAAGGUCAGAUACCCAAGCCCAAAUUAUUGUUGUGCAUUAAGCUUAUCACUUGCUUGCACAAGAAUUUGUACUGUGGUAAUACCCAUGCACCAACAAUA